AGUGGCGCAGCUAACGCACUAAGUUGACCGCCUGGGGGGUACGGCCGCAAGGUUAAAACUCAAAUGAAUUGACGGGGGCCCGCACAAGCGGUGGAGCAUGUGGUUUAAUUCGACGCAACGCGAAGAACCUUACCUGGCCUUGACAUCCAGAGAACUUUCCAGAGAUGGAUUGGUGCCUUCGGGAACUCUGUGACAGGUGCUGCAUGGCCGUCGUCAGCUCGUGUCGUGAGAUGUUGGGUUAAGUCCCGUAACGAGCGCAACCCCUAUCCCUGGUUGCUAGCAGGUAAUGCUGAGAACUCCAGGGAGACUGCCGGUGACAGACCGGAGGAAGGUGGGGAUGACGUCAGGUCAUCAUGGCCCUUACGGCCAGGGCUACACACGUGCUACAAUGGUGCGUACAGAGGGCUGCAAACUCGCGAGAGUAAGCCAAUCCCUUAAAACGCAUCGUAGUCCGGAUCGGAGUCUGCAACUCGACUCCGUGAAGUCGGAAUCGCUAGUAAUCGCGAAUCAGAAUGUCGCGGUGAAUACGUUCCCGGGCCUUGUACACACCGCCCGUCACACCAUGGGAGUGGAUUGCACCAGAAGUGGUUAGUCUAACCUUCGGGAGGACGAUCACCACGGUGUGGUUCAUGACUGGGGUG
rnacentral:rRNA from 1 species